rnacentral:rRNA from 1 species
AGGGAAUAUUGCAAAAUGGGCGAAAGCCCGAUGCAGCAACGCCGCGUGGGCGAUGAAGGCCUUCGGGUCGUAAAGCCCUUUUUGAGGGGAUGAGGAAGGACAGUACCCUCAGAAUAAGCCUCGGCUAACUACGUGCCAGCAGCCGCGGUAAAACGUAGGAGGCGAGCGUUAUCCGGAUUUACUGGGCGUAAAGCGCGUGCAGGCGGAUUGGAGAGUUGGAUGUGAAAGCUCCCGGCUUAACUGGGAGAGGUCGUUCAAUACUUCCAGUCUUGAGUGCAGUAGAGGGAAGUGGAAUUCCGGGGGUAGUGGUGAAAUGCGUAGAUAUCCGGAGGAACACCAGUGGCGAAAGCGGCUUCCUGGACUGUAACUGACGCUCAGACGCGAAAGCUAGGGUAGCAAACG